rnacentral:rRNA from 1 species
UACGGAGGGUGCAAACGGUGCUCGGAACCAUUGGGCGUAAAGCGCACGUAGGUGGCUUGUUAAGUCGGGUGUGAAAUCCCUGGGCUCAACCCAGGAAGUGCACUCGAAACUGGCGAGCUUGAGUACUGAAGAGGGUCGCGGAAUUCCCGGUGUAGAGGUGAAAUUCGUAGAUAUCGGGAGGAACACCAGUGGCGAAGGCGGCGACCUGGGCAGAUACUGACACUGAGGUGCGAAAGCGUGGGGAGCAAACAGG